UACGGAGGAUGCGAGCGUUAUCCGGAUUUAUUGGGUUUAAAGGGUGCGCAGGCGGAGGCACAAGUCAGCGGUAAAAUCGCGGGGCUCAACCCCGCUCCGCCGUUGAAACUGUGUCCCUUGAGUGCGCGAAGGGUAGGCGGAAUGCGUGGUGUAGCGGUGAAAUGCAUAGAUAUCACGCAGAACUCCGAUCGCGAAGGCAGCCUACCGGCGCGCUACUGACGCUCAUGCGCGAAAGCGUGGGUAUCGAACAGG
rnacentral:rRNA from 1 species